rnacentral:rRNA from 1 species
UACGUAGGGUGCGAGCGUUGUCCGGAAUUAUUGGGCGUAAAGAGCUCGUAGGCGGUUUGUCGCGUCUAUCGUGAAAACUAGCAGCUUAACUGUUGGCGUGCGGUGGAUACGGGCAGACUUGAGUUCGGUAGGGGAGACUGGAAUUCCUGGUGUAGCGGCGAAAUGCGCAGAUAUCAGGAGGAACACCGGUGGCGAAGGCGGGUCUCUGGGCCGAUACUGACGCUGAGGAGCGAAAGCGUGGGGAGCGAACAGG